rnacentral:rRNA from 1 species
CCUACGGGUGACUGCAGUCGAGAAUCAUUCACAAUGGGGGAAACCCUGAUGGUGCGACGCCGCGUGGGGGAAUGAAGGUCUUCGGAUUGUAAACCCCUGUCAUGUGGGAGCAAAUUAAAAAGAUAGUACCACACGAGGAAGAGACGGCUAACUCUGUUCCAGCAGCCGCGGUAAUACAGAGGUCUCAAGCGUUGUUCGGAAUCACUGGGCGUAAAGCGUGCGUAGGCUGUUUCGUAAGUCGUGUGUGAAAGGCGCGGGCUCAACCCGCGGACGGCACAUGAUACUGCGAGACUAGAGUAAUGGAGGGGGAACCGGAAUUCUCGGUGUAGCAGUGAAAUGCGUAGAUAUCGAGAGGAACACUCGUGGCGAAGGCGGGUUCCUGGACAUUAACUGACGCUGAGGCACGAAGGCCAGGGGAGCGAAAGGGAUUAGAUACCCUAGUAGUC